GGUCAGCCUUUGUUUAAGCCUUAGGCUUGUUAAAAAAUUGGUGGGUCUGUCAGAGAGGUGAUGUACUGUUUCAUCAGCAUUACCUGCAGCCGCUGAAUCCAUAAUAUGCAGGCAAUGCUCAUCAUGUUAAGAAAAUGUAUAUUAAUCAUAGUCAAAACCUUGCUUUGAUUGCUAAGACAACAAACUCCUCUUGAUCUAAGUGUCUGUAAUAUCAAGAUGACUUCUUCAAAAGUAACAGAAAUGUGCACACUUCAGUAUAUUUAUCUAGAUAAAAGUGAUAAAACAGUCAAUGGUUUAUUUCCAUAUAUUGUAAAACUGAUGCUAUGGAUAAUGGAUUGACGUACUUAUUCUUUAAAAAGUUAAAAAAUAAAGUAAAAAAUAAAAAGUCUGAAAAUAUUUAAUGUUUUUAUGGUUCGAGUUGCUUUCUGCAAGUUCAUAGUGUAGAAUAUAUAAUUUUUAUAUCAGUCCUUUAGUUUCUCAAUUAUACUGUUAAAUUCCAGGUUUACUUUGAAACAAGAAGAAGAAAAGAGGCUCAGAGCAGAAACACUAUAUGAAAAAAUAAGAGAAAAAUUCAGUAGAAAAGAAGAGCAAUAUUGUGAAGAGAUGGAAGAGAAACAGCAACUUGAGUUACAAUCCAGGAAUUUAGAAAUGGAGUUAGUAACACUGAGAAAGCUCCUCAAACAGGUUGAAGAUAGCAUGAUGAAACACAGAGACAACUCUCUCAGGAAAAGAGUGCCAGAGCCCUGCAAGAAGGCAUUUUGAACAACCACCUAUGGAGACAAAAGGAGCUAGAAGAGACAAGAAGAGCUAUAGCAAAAAAGUUCAGAUGUAAGCAGAAUUUUUUCUAAUUAAUUAAAUUACCCAUGUUUGUUAUAAAGUUUUAUUAUAACUUAGAUAUUUUUUCUGCUUCUUGAUGGAUUAUUUACAGUUUACCAGUGUAAUUUUACUGUACAAAUACCUCUUCCUUUUACCCUUUUGUCUUUAAAAGUUCUGGAAAGCAAUAUCAGUGCUGUAUGUAAUUACACUGCAGGUACAAGUAAAAAGCUAAAAGAAAACACUCUCUACACCAUUUUUUAAACUGUCUUGUUUUUAUUUCCU
rnacentral:lncRNA from 1 species